rnacentral:rRNA from 1 species
GGUAAUGCGCAGCCUACACAUGCAGUCCGAACGGUAGCACAGAGAGCUUGCUCUCGGGUGACGAGUGGCGGACGGGUGAGUAAUGUCUGGGAAACUGCCUGAUGGAGGGGGAUAACUACUGGAAACGGUAGCUAAUACCGCAUAACGUCGCAAGACCAAAGAGGGGGACCUUCGGGCCUCUUGCCAUCAGAUGUGCCCAGAUGGGAUUAGCUAGUAGGUGGGGUAACGGCUCACCUAGGCGACGAUCCCUAGCUGGUCUGAGAGGAUGACCAGCCACACUGGAACUGAGACACGGUCCAGACUCCUACGGGAGGCAGCAGUGGGGAAUAUUGCACAAUGGGCGCAAGCCUGAUGCAGCCAUGCCGCGUGUAUGAAGAAGGCCUUCGGGUUGUAAAGUACUUUCAGCGGGGAGGAAGGUGUUGUGGUUAAUAACCGCAGCAAUUGACGUUACCCGCAGAAGAAGCACCGGCUAACUCCGUGCCAGCAGCCGCGGUAAUACGGAGGGUGCAAGCGUUAAUCGGAAUUACUGGGCGUAAAGCGCACGCAGGCGGUCUGUCAAGUCGGAUGUGAAAUCCCCGGGCUCAACCUGGGAACUGCAUUCGAAACUGGCAGGCUAGAGUCUUGUAGAGGGGGGUAGAAUUCCAGGUGUAGCGGUGAAAUGCGUAGAGAUCUGGAGGAAUACCGGUGGCGAAGGCGGCCCCCUGGACAAAGACUGACGCUCAGGUGCGAAAGCGUGGGGGAGCAAACAGGAUUAGAUACCCCGGGUAGUCCACGCCGUAAACGAUGUCGACUUGGAAGGUUGUGCCCCUUGAGGCGUGGCUUUCCGGAACCUAACGCGUUUAAGUCAACC